rnacentral:rRNA from 1 species
GACGAACGCUGGCGGCGUGCUUAACACAUGCAAGUCGAACGGAAAGGCCCCUUCGGGGGUGCUCGAGUGGCGAACGGGUGAGUAACACGUGGGUGAUCUGCCCUGCACUUUGGGUUAAGCCUGGGAAACUGGGUCGAAUACCGAAUAGGAUCAUGGCCUUCAUGGGUUGUGGUGGAAAGCUUUUGCGGUGUGGGAUGGGCCCGCGGCCUAUCAGCUUGUUGGUGGGGUAAUGGCCUACCAAGGCGACGACGGGUAGCCGGCCUGAGAGGGUGUCCGGCCACACUGGGACUGAGAUACGGCCCAGACUCCUACGGGAGGCAGCAGUGGGGAAUAUUGCACAAUGGGCGCAAGCCUGAUGCAGCGACGCCGCGUGAGGGAUGACGGCCUUCGGGUUGUAAACCUCUUUCAGCAUCGACGAAGCGCAAGUGACGGUAGAUGCAGAAGAAGCACCGGCCAACUACGUGCCAGCCGCCGCCGUAACAC